rnacentral:rRNA from 1 species
UCUGCUCAAUGAUUUUUUAAAUUGCUGUGGUAUUUUGACUAUGCGAAGGUAUUGAAAUAAGGCUUUAAAUGAGUGCUAAGAGAAUGGUUUAACGAUUAUAAGCUUUCUUUAAUUAAAAAAUUGAAUUUAAUUUUUUUGUGAAGAAGCAAAAAUUUAAAUUAGGGACAAGAAGACCCUAUGAAUUUUGAAUUAAAUAACAUAAUUUAUUUAAAUUAUGUUAUUUAAAUUAAUUGGGGUGAUUGGAAAAGAAUAUUUAUCUUUUUAAGGAUUUAAUUUGUUCCGUUUAUAGCGAUUUUAUGAGAAAAAUACUCUAGGGAUAACAGCGUAAUAAUUUUGGAUAGUUCAUAUAGAUAAAAUAGUUUGCGACCUCGAUGUUGGAUUAGGAUUCUUUUUUGAUGGAGAAAUUAAAGAGAAGAAGUUUGUUCAACUUUUAAAUUCCUACUUGAUCUGAGUUCAGACCGGA